rnacentral:rRNA from 1 species
CGUAUAAAAUUCUAAAUAGAUUAAAGAUAAUGACAAUUAUCUAUUUAUUAGUCUCGACCAAUACUACGUGCCAGCGAUCGCGGUAAGACGUAAGAGACAAGUGUAAGUCAUCUUAAUUAGGUUUAAAGUGUACAUAGACGGAAAAAUAAACCUUAAAAAGGUACUUUUUUUCUAGAGUUUUAUAAAAGAAGAAUUGAAUUUUUGAAGAAAAGAUAGAAUUUGCAAAUAACAAAAAGACAGGUAGCAGUUAAUACGACCUUCUUUAUAAAAACUGACGUUGAGGUACGAAGGCUUGGGUAACGAGCAGGAUUAGAUACCCUAGUAGUCCAAGCAGAAAAUUCUGAAUGUCAUAAAUUAAAAAACUUUAUAAAUAAAAGUGUAAGCAUUCCACCUCAAGAGUACAAUGGCAACAUUAAAACUGAAAUCAUUAGGCC